GGCGAACGCUGGCGGCGUGCCUAACACAUGCAAGUCGAACGUGAAAAGGGAAACCUGAGUAAAGUGGCGUACGGGUGAGUAACGCGUAGGUAAUCUACCCCAGAAUCUGGAAUAACCUGCCGAAAGGCGGGCUAAUACUGGAUAGAGCGAGGGAACUCGUAAGAGAGUUUUUCGGGAAAGGGAGCCCGCAAGGGCCUUCGUUCUGGGAUGAGCCUGCGUCUCAUUAGCUAGUUGGUAAGGUAACGGCUUACCAAGGCGAUGAUGAGUAGCUGGUCUGAGAGGAUGAUCAGCCACACUGGAACUGAAACACGGUCCAGACUCCUACGGGAGGCAGCAGUGGGGAAUCUUGCGCAAUGGACGAAAGUCUGACGCAGCCACGCCGCGUGAGUGAAGAAGGCCUUCGGGUUGUAAAGCUCUGUCGGAUGGGACGAACAUCUUCAUAGUGAAUAGCUAUGAGGACUGACGGUACCAUCAAAGGAAGCACCGGCUAACUCCGUG
rnacentral:rRNA from 1 species